rnacentral:rRNA from 1 species
AUUGAACGCUGGCGGCAUGCCUUACACAUGCAAGUCGAACGGUAACAGGUUAAGCUGACGAGUGGCGAACGGGUGAGUAAUGUAUCGGAACGUGCCCAGUCGUGGGGGAUAACGUAGCGAAAGCUACGCUAAUACCGCAUACGAUCUACGGAUGAAAGCGGGGGAUCGCAAGACCUCGCGCGAUUGGAGCGGCCGAUAUCAGAUUAGGUUGUUGGUGAGGUAAAAGCUCACCAAGCCUGCGAUCUGUAGCUGGUCUGAGAGGACGACUAGCCUCACUGGAACUGAGACACGGUCCAGACUCCUACGGGAGGCAGCAGUGGGGAAUUUUGGACAAUGGACGCAAGUCUGAUCCAGCAAUGCCGCGUGCAGGACGAAGGCCUUCGGGUUGUAAACUGCUUUUGUACGGAACGAAACGGUGAGCUCUAAUACAGUUUGCUAAUGACGGUACCUCCAGAAGAAGCCCCGGCUAACUACGUGCCAGCCGCCGCGGUAA